UACGAAGGGGGCUAGCGUUGCUCGGAAUCACUGGGCGUAAAGCGCACGUAGGCGGAUUGCUAAGUCAGAUGUGAAAGCCCUCGGCUCAACCGAGGAAGUGCAUCUGAAACUGGCGAGCUAGAGUACUAAAGAGGGUCGCGGAAUUCCCGGUGUAGAGGUGAAAUUCGUAGAUAUCGGGAGGAACACCGGUGGCGAAGGCGGCGACCUGGGUAGAUACUGACGCUGAGGUGCGAAAGCGUGGGGAGCAAACAGG
rnacentral:rRNA from 1 species